rnacentral:rRNA from 1 species
AACGAACGCUGGCGGCAUGCCUAACACAUGCAAGUCGAACGAGACCUUCGGUUCUAGUGGCGCACGGGUGCGUAACGCGUGGGAACCUGCCCUUAGGUUCGGAAUAACUCCCCGAAAGGGGUGCUAAUACCGGAUAAUGUCUUCGGACCAAAGAUUUAUCGCCUUUGGAUGGGCCCGCGUUGGAUUAGCUAGUUGGUAUGGUAAACGCCUACCAAGGCGACGAUCCAUAGCUGGUCUGAGAGGAUGAUCAGCCACACUGGGACUGAGACACGGCCCAGACUCCUACGGGAAGCAGCAGUGGGGAAUAUUGGACGAUGGGCGAAAGCCUGAUCCAGCAAUGCCGCGUGAGUGAUGAAGGCCUUAGGGUUGUAAAGCUCUUUUACCCGGGAUGAUAAUGACAGUACCGGGAGAAUAAGCUCCGGCUAACUCCGUG